rnacentral:rRNA from 1 species
UACGUAGGGGGCUAGCGUUGUCCGGAUUUAUUGGGCGUAAAGAGCGUGUAGGCGGCCAAGUAGGUCCGGUGUGAAAACUCGAGGCUCAACUUCGAGCUGUCGGUGGAAACUUUCUGGCUAGAGUCCGGAAGAGGAGAAUGGAAUUCCUGGUGUAGCGGUGAAAUGCGCAGAUAUCAGGAAGAACACCCGUGGCGAAGGCGGUUCUCUGGGACGGUACUGACGCUGAGAC